rnacentral:lncRNA from 1 species
AUGAAAAUGUUGAAUAACAUGGGACCCAGAACCCGUUCUUGUCUUAUACCAAAUAACUGCCACCAAAACAAGCAAGAACCAUAUUUUAUAGGGCUGGACAACACAUAUAUAGGUUGGGGCGGGGAUACACACACAUCCUGUAACUACCCUCACCCUUUACUGAGUAUGCAAACUAUAUCCCAAAAGACUACACCAGUCCUUCCUUUAGCACAACUAUUUACUGUACACUCAUGUCAGAAUUUCAAGCCUCUACAGCUAAAUUAGUUUCACUUAAAAAAUGAUUUCUUUUAAAAGUAUUUUUAAAAAUACUUUUUUAAAAACCCCAUACUGAUCUCUUUUAAAAAGUACUUCUUAAAACUAUUCAAUGAUACAAAAAUCUAUACACAAACAAAUGUUAAAUGCUUAAUUUGCAUCUGACACAGUGGAUUGGGGUAGGAAGGAUUAUGUCAUAAUGUUUCUUUAAUAUGGUGCCAUAAGAUUUUUCAGUAUUUUUCCUGUCACAGAUGAACACUUCACCUCCCGUUCUGCAAAGCUAAAGCUCAGGGACAUUUGCCCCUAUAAUUUCUGCACAAACUGAUAGUAAAGUAUAUUUGCUAAUUACUAUUCAGAACUCUUUAAAUCUUUGUGGGGAAAAAAUCUCCUUAUCAGAGGGCUGAAGCCACAUGGAAAGACUGAAUUACUUAACUUGUUACUUUUCUUACACCAAAACCAACAUGUCCACUGAGGAGAAAUUCUGGAAUGUUCCUUAUUCUUGUUUGCAUGGAACACCUCCAAGUGAACAAGAAAACUACCUUCUUCAGUGUGAAGAAAGCAAUGGUCAUAGGUGGUCCUCUGUUGAAUACAACUGGGUACGUUACAUCUGAAUACGGCUAUUGCAUGACAUUGGUGACCUAUGACCAAACUCUUUUCAGAGCAUACCAAUACUUUUUGUGAUGUAGAAAACCUAAUUUUAAAUUUGCCUGAGACAGCGGGCCAAUUAUUCAUUACUGCCAAAUGUUAAAUUUUUGUGAAAUCUUGGGUGUAAUACAACUAUGUCUUUGGGAAAAUGACUCUGUGUAAUGUCAGCAUGAAGUAAAUCACAUAGUACUAUGAGCAGUCAGGCAAAUACAAGGAUGGAAAUAGCCAGUUCCUGUAUAGUUUCAAAUAUGGAUUUUAAGUGGAAAUAUUAAAAGUGUAUAUCUAGGAAUACAGGAAUGCUGAAAGUUUGUUUUUUCACCUCAGUAUGGCCAUUAGUAAGCUGUUAAAUGCGCUGGCUUUCUCAUGUGCCACAUCAAAAAGACAGUAGCACCAGGUGUUACUAUUUAGUGCACUAGUGUCUGUAUCUUAGUUGUUUCAGGUCUAGAACCUACAGUAACUGUGAAGUAAUUUUUUUAUGCCCAACACAAUUUCAGUAGCAUUUAUAUGGAAGCACAUGAACAAUAAAGAUGGCAGUUUUGUUUUAUGUAAACA